rnacentral:rRNA from 1 species
AUUGAACGCUGGCGGCAUGCUUUACACAUGCAAGUCGAACGGUAACAGGGUGCUUGCACCGCUGACGAGUGGCGAACGGGUGAGUAAUGCGUCGGAACGUGCCGAGUAGUGGGGGAUAACGCAGCGAAAGUUGUGCUAAUACCGCAUACGUACUGAGGUAGAAAGUGGGGGACCUUCGGGCCUCACGCUAUUCGAGCGGCCGACGUCUGAUUAGCUAGUAGGUGAGGUAAGAGCUCACCUAGGCGACGAUCAGUAGCGGGUCUGAAAGGAUGAUCCGCCACACUGGGACUGAGACACGGCCCAGACUCAUACGGGAGGCAGCAGUGGGGAAUUUUGGACAAUGGGCGCAAGCCUGAUUCAGCCAUGCCGCGUGUCUGAAGAAGGCCUUCGGGUUGUAAAGGACUUUUGUCAGGGAGGAAAUCCUAGUGGCUAAUAACUGCUGGGGAUGACAGUACCUGAAGAAUAAGCACCGGCUAACUACGUGCCAGCAGCCGCCGUAAUAC